rnacentral:rRNA from 1 species
UACGUAGGGUGCGAGCGUUAAUCGGAAUUACUGGGCGUAAAGCGUGCGCAGGCGGUUUUGUAAGUCUGUCGUGAAAUCCCCGGGCUCAACCUGGGAACUGCAUUUGUGACUGCAUCGCUGGAGUACGGCAGAGGGGGAUGGAAUUCCGCGUGUAGCAGUGAAAUGCGUAGAUAUGCGGAGGAACACCGAUGGCGAAGGCAAUCCCCUGGGCCUGUACUGACGCUCAUGCACGAAAGCGUGGGGAGCAAACAGG